ACAACCCAAGCUUUAGUACUGUGUAACCUUAUAACAACCCAAGCUUUAGUUUUAAGUUAUUUAUUAUGGAAUCCAUUUUUUCGUUACACUCAGAUGUACAUUUAGUGAUUUAUGCUGUAUGUUCUACCAUCUCAUUGUAACCUUUUAUUUAUCUACUCUUUGAUGGAUAUUUGAGGACUUCAUUUUAUCUUGCUUUGCUUUUGAAUUCCUGUGAUGUAUGACAUCUGUCUCCUUGAAUGUGCAAA
rnacentral:misc_RNA from 1 species